GGGGGCAGGUAGCCACAAAGCUCCAGCUGCAUCCAAGCCUGUUAAAGGACACAUUAAUAAGUGGGACUGUAACCAUAGGAAGAUGACAGAGGUGUGGAGAGGUCUAGAUAGACCAUUUCAUCAAAAACACUGAGGGAAAUGAGCUUGUAUAGAGAGAGAAGGGAAAGAAUGAAAUAAUAGAGUACACACUAACAGUCUUUCAAUUUAGUGAAUUAUAAAGGAAAACUUUUGUACUAACCAAAGAAGGCUAGCUAGGGCAAAGGCUAGCAGGACUGAAAUUACAAUAUGGACCAUCUUUCUAGGACUUUGCCCGUGCAAGGGAUUUAAGUGUAUUUAAGUUCAAGGUGUACAAUGUGUUGGUUUGAUACAUUUAUAAAUUGCAAAACGAUUAUCACCAUAAUAUUUAGCUGUCUUCUUUAUCUCUCCACAUAGUUCCCAUGUCUUUUUUUGUGAUGAGGACAUUUAGGAUCUACUCUCUUAGCAACAUUCAAGUACAUGAUACAGUAUUAUUAACUCUAAUCACCAUGCUGUACUUUUUAUCUUCCCCUUUUGGAAGUCUAGUCUCUUAAUCAUGAAUGAACCUCUCAGCCCCUGGCUUUCCUUCUGCUCUUACAUAAACUCUUUCAGAUAACUGCUGAUAUCAAUGUGAUCAUUUACUCUGUCCACAGUCUGGGAGAGACCAUGACUUGAGGGACUCUGGCUGGGCCAUCAGCCAGGGAAGCUCAUUCUCUGUGUUCACCUGCUGCUCCCUGUGAUAGGUACUCAACAAAUAUCUGUUGAAUUAAUGAAUCAGUCAAGAAAGCUUAAUUUUAUUUUAAUUUCAGGGGAAAUUUUUUUUUUCUGUUUUCAUAGCAGUAAUAGGAUGAAGACCUGUCUUAAAGUGAUGUCUAUCAGUUAAUUAGAAGGAUUAAUUGUGUGUUCAUUGGAAGAUAACUAUCAUAGUAGUGAACUGUUUGCUUCAGGUUCUGGAGAAAUUAAAUCGGCUGAAGCAUUAUGAGUAGAAAAAGACCAAAGAAUCACAACAGAACUGGCAGAGACUGAAUAAAGGAGAGAGUUCCAUUAAUAUCCAAAUUACUAUAGAAGAGGGGAAGUUACUUAGAACAGCACCUGACACACAUGAGGUGCUCAGGAAAUGUCACUGUGAUAUAUCACCCUCAUCAUCGCUAUGAUGACAAUUUUAAGUGAUGUUCUGAUAAGACAUUCAAAAAUAUCAAAUCACACAUUGAUGGAGUGACUUCCUGUUUGUUUGUUUGUUUGUUUGUUUGUUUGUUUGUUUGUUUGUUUUGAAAGAGGGAGAGAAGGAGAAUCCGAAGCAGGCUUCGAGCUGUCAGCAUAGAGACCGACAUGGGGCUCGAUCUUGGGAACCAUGAGAUUAUGACCUGAGCCAAAAUAAGGAGUUUGACGCUUAAUCAACUGAGCCACCCAGGUGCCCCAAGUUAUUUCCUUUUUGAUUUCAAGUGUUCUCAUGACCGCCAGAAGAAUGUGGCCAGGUGGCACUAGUUUAUCUUGUAUAUGCAUUGCGGUUGACGCUGAGCAGACCUCAAGCUCAGUUGGAAUUUAACAGCAUUGUUUUGUUUUCAUUGCGCUCAUUUUUUUAGUGAUUACUUUCUAUUUAUUACAAACAGUAUUGAUUUUCCUUAAUGGUAGUGCCUAAAGUUUCCCUUCAAAUAUUUGUUUUGGGGGCUAAAGCAAGCCAAUUUAAAGAAAACAUGAAGUUAUUGAUGGAAGAAGAGGUAUACAGAUCAGGCAAAAUCUUGAUGGUGGAAAGUUUGUGUCUAAAGUUUAGGAGGGUGCUUCAGGGGCAUUUACUUGAACUCAUCAAACCUCCCUAACCCAGAUGUUUCUGCGGCACCACAUGUGGGUGUCCUGUCUACACUACCUGGCUGCCCGAUUGGCACAGAUGGCCUAGGAAGUAAUCCUUCCUCCUCAGAUUACUGAUGUAGAGAAGGAAAGGACACCCACUGGUGGCUCCCUUAGCCUGAAGUCAGAUGCCUUGGCCCCCUUCCCAGCUCCCCCGGCCCAGCUGGUAGUUGGAAAUGCUCACUACAUCCUGGUUAGUAGCAAGGGUGGAACCCUGCACAAGAUCACACGCUUAUCUCCAAUGCUGUGCGGGUGAAAAGUUAACAGGCGCUCUCGGGGAAGGACUGGUUUGUGACACUUGCCGAUUUCAGCGGUCUAAGUUCUCCCACCUUAGCUGAUUUCAGUCACGGCUGUGUUUAACAACUGGCUGACAAAAUUCCUGAAUAUCGAACAGGUGUCCUGGGGCACCAGCCCCAGCAGGCUUCUGCACGCCACUGUAAGUUGUAGUGUCAGCAUUUGAUAUUGUAACUGGGUUAUUCCUCCGUGUCAGCCUUUUCCUCUAAAGGUGAAGCUCCAUGAGAGAAGAAACCACAUCUGUCUCGCUCACCAUGGUAACUCCCGUGCCCAGCGCAGUCCUGACACUUAGCAGCUGCCCCAUGAAUACAUUGGCUAAUACUUACUGGCAGGCGAUCUGAGGUUAAAAGGCAUGCCCACAAAGGCCCCAGUCCCUUAAAUCUUGCAGCUUUCUCAAGCUUAGUGAAGUUUGAGGGCAUUUUGUUUUGUUUGUGUUCUUUCUCCUUGAGCAGCAGACCAGCUUGGCUCCACAAUGUCAAAGAGCAGAUGUGUCUUCCUGGGAGCCUGAGAAGAGCUGGAGCUGGAAGGAAGCAGAGCCGGGCUGACCACGUCAGGUACCCUGCUUCAAGGGCCCCUGCCUCCCGCAAGGUGCACCGCUGCGGCCCUCUGUAUUCAGUUUAAAGGGGACCACGCAAACCAUCUCUCCUGAACAUCUAGUCUUGUGCUGUGAUGUCCAUGUCCUGACAAAUCGUGGUUCCUGCCUACUGAGUUUCCUGAUACAGCAGUGUUAUGCUUUUCUGAAGAUGGGGAUUUUCAUCCAAACCCUCUUUUAGGACUGCCUUCAUACCUUCACACCUGAAUGUAUUCUUCGUUCUUCUGGAAUGUUUAUAGGGCUGCUCUGGCUCUCGCCACUUGCGACUGGAUUUUGGUGCGACUUCAGAAUCUGAGGUAAAUCCUUCUUGGUAUGUCAUCCAUCAGUUCAACAGCCAGUGGUGUGGUAGACCUUCCCACGCUAGCGUGAGAGCCUAAUGUGACAUUUUCAGGAGUUUUUGCAGGUAUGCACGGAUUCCUUUGUUUUGC